ACAAGUAGGGCUUUUCGUUUGUGCUGUUGUUUCAUAACAGGUAAUGGUAUGUUGUUGGGAAACUAACCCUGGAAACAACAGAAUGAAAAAUAUCAGGACAAUGAAAGGAAAAUCAGACUGGAGACAAGAGUUGAGAACUGACCCAGUUGCUGCCUUCACUGCAAUGCGAGCCAGGACAUCAGCCAGGUUUUCAAAGGGGAAACAGGAAAGACUGUGGUAAUAUACCCAGCAUUUGGUGAGACAUACCUGGAGCUGAAUGAUCUUUUUUUACAUUUCCUGUGAAUCAGGCCUCAGAAUACAUGUCACAAGUCCCAGCAUCAUAAACUCCUAUGUAUUAAAAGAAAAAAAAAUCUGACAACGAUUAAAACAUUUUACAACUA